AUAUUCUAGCAGUUUAGUGCCCCUAAAAGGGCGCUCGGGCAGAAAAUGACACUCAAACUGACGCUCAACGCCCUUGGAAGGGUGCUCAGGCGCGAAACGACACUAAAUUUUGCGCUCAAGUUGACUUUUCAGCAUUAUGGUUGACUUUUCUACACUUUGGUUGACUUUUCUACGUUCCAACUAUUUGGUACUUUACCUCUUCUUUCAAAUAUUUCCAAUAGCCUACAAAAUCAAGGGAAUUUAUUGAUAAAAUCAUCAAGUAUAACCUCAACUC
rnacentral:lncRNA from 1 species